rnacentral:lncRNA from 1 species
GCGGAAUCACGGUGCAAUAGCAGUACCUAAAAAAUUAAAAAAUUAGAAAAUAAAAUUCGUAAAAGUAAAAGGGAGUUUCGAUUUUUGGGUGCUUAAGGGGGUUUUAGAGCUUGAUUUUUUUUUUUUUAAGAGGAAGGCCUUGGAAAAGGUAAGAACAUAGGGGAAAAUAGGGACCAUCGAAGCGGUGGAGAUAGGCUUUUUGGAUCUUGGCAACUGUGGGCUUCAAAGCUAGAUCUAGAGUUUUUGGAAGAAUUUUGGGCAAAACUAUGGUCGAAAAUAAAAAGGGAAGGUCGAAAGGAAUCUAGAGCGCUUUCACAUAUUUUUUGACACCCAUGGGUGGUGGUCAAUGGCGGAGGUGGCGACGCAAACAGCGGGGCUACAAUUCGUCUGAAUCUGGGGGUUUAGUUUUUUUUAAGAAAGAUUAAAUUUUUA